rnacentral:rRNA from 1 species
UACGUAGGGGGCAAGCGUUGUCCGGAAUCACUGGGCGUAAAGGGCGUGUAGGCGGGAAGGAAAGUCAGAUGUGAAAUCCCUGGGCUCAACCCAGGAACUGCAUUUGAAACUCCCUUUCUUGAGUGUCGGAGAGGAAAGUGGAAUUCCUGGUGUAGAGGUGAAAUUCGUAGAUAUCGGGAGGAACACCUGUGGCGAAGGCGGCCCCCUGGUUGGAUACUGACGCUGAUACGCGAAAGCGUGGGGAGCAAACAGG